GACGAACGCUGGCGGCGUGCUUAACACAUGCAAGUCGAACGGAAAGGCCCUGCUUUUGUGGGGUGCUCGAGUGGCGAACGGGUGAGUAACACGUGAGUAACCUGCCCUUGACUUUGGGAUAACUUCAGGAAACUGGGGCUAAUACCGGAUAGGAGCUCCUGCUGCAUGGUGGGGGUUGGAAAGUUUCGGCGGUUGGGGAUGGACUCGCGGCUUAUCAGCUUGUUGGUGGGGUAGUGGCUUACCAAGGCUUUGACGGGUAGCCGGCCUGAGAGGGUGACCGGCCACAUUGGGACUGAGAUACGGCCCAGACUCCUACGGGAGGCAGCAGUGGGGAAUAUUGCACAAUGGGCGGAAGCCUGAUGCAGCAACGCCGCGUGCGGGAUGACGGCUUUCGGGUUGUAAACCGCUUUCGCCUGUGACGAAGCGUGAGUGACGGUAAUGGGUAAAGAAGCACCGGCUAACUACG
rnacentral:rRNA from 1 species